GACGAACGCUGGCGGCGUGCUUAACACAUGCAAGUCGAACGGGCCUUGUCCCCUUUUUUUUGGGGGUGGGGUUAGUGGCGAACGGGUGAGUAACACGUGAGUAACCUGCCCCUCACUUCUGGAUAACCGCUUGAAAGGGUGGCUAAUACGGGGUGUUCUGGCCUGCUCGCAUGGGUGGGUUUGGAAAGAUUCGACCGGUUUUGGUUGUUUUGGUGGGGGAUGGGCUCGCGGCCUAUCAGCUUGUUGGUGGGGUGGUGGCCUGCCAAGGCUUUGACGGGUAGCCGGCCUGAGAGGGUGGGCGGUCACACUGGGACUGGGACACGGCCCAGACUCCUACGGGAGGCAGCAGUGGGGAAUAUUGCACAAUGGGCGCAAGCCUGAUGCAGCGACGCCGCGUGAGGGAUGGAGGCCUUCGGGUUGUGAACCUCUUUCGCCAGUGAAGAAGGUCCUGCUCUUUGUGGUGGGGUUGACGGUAGCUGGGUUAAUGAAGCGCCGGCUAACUACGUG
rnacentral:rRNA from 1 species